UACGAAGGGGGCUAGCGUUGCUCGGAAUCACUGGGCGUAAAGCGCACGUAGGCGGCUUUUUAAGUCAGAGGUGAAAUCCUGGAGCUCAACUCCAGAACUGCCUUUGAUACUGGAGAGCUUGAGUCCGGGAGAGGUGAGUGGAACUGCGAGUGUAGAGGUGAAAUUCGUAGAUAUUCGCAAGAACACCCGUGGCGAAGGCGGCUCUCUGGGACGGUACUGACGCUGAGACGCGAAAGCGUGGGGAGCGAACAGG
rnacentral:rRNA from 1 species